rnacentral:rRNA from 1 species
UCAGUAGGGAAUCUUCCACAAUGGACGCAAGUCUGAUGGAGCAACGCCGCGUGAGUGAAGAAGGUCUUCGGAUCGUAAAACUCUGUUGUUAGAGAAGAACACGAGUGAGAGUAACUGUUCAUUCGAUGACGGUAUCUAACCAGCAAGUCACGGCUAACUACGUGCCAA